AUUGUCCAGACUUCCGUGACCCGGAAGUGCUUUUUCUUUUACCCCCGACGAGGUCAAAAUGGCGGCUCGCUGCAUGUGAAGGGCUCGACACGGGAGCCGGCUCGAUGAUCGGAGAACAUGUAUAAAACGCCAUGUAGCAGACUGUCAGGUUUGGUCGGUGCAAGUGUGAAACAGAAAUUAGUUCAAAAUGUCCUCCGCUGUAACCAGACUGCUCGGGGCCUUAUCCAGCUGCACAGAAGAGAUCCAUCAGACCGGCCGACCUAUCAGCAUCUGAGCUUCCUCAAACGCCAGUAUGUUGCAAAGAACAACAGUGAGCUUCUUCAACGCGCCGUCCCGAAACACGUGCCCGUCCUGACCAUUGUGGACGAGCGCGAUGACAGCGUUGAGAUGCGGGUGGAGAGAAUACCGACCAUCGACCCCGUGGUCACGGGCCCUGCGCCACAGUCGGAGGCUGUCGCCAGGACGACGCAGCCCGAAGUGGGUCCUGCUGCGGCGGCACAGAAAGACGUCGCGUCCAGAAGCACAGCUGCAAUAUCCCACGAGACUCCACACAUCCAGGUGGAGUCGGACGAGGCUAGGGAGGCUCGCCUGGACCGACAGUGGAAACAGCUGAAGGUCAACGUGGCGGACUUACCGGAUAUCUAUGCCAGACUGGCCAAAAUCAAACUUACAGCCUUGGUGGUCACGACCGCAGCAGCUGGCUAUGCAAUGGCUCCGGUGCCGUUCGAUCCACUCAUCUUCUUCGUGGCCACUCUGGGAACAGGCCUCGCCUCAUGCUGCGCCAAUUCCAUCAACCAGUACUUCGAGGUGCCCUUUGACUCCAACAUGAACCGCACCAAGAACCGCCCGCUCGUCCGAGGACAGAUCAGUCCCCUCCACGCGGUGUCGUUCGCUCUGGCCUGCGGAGUCCCCGGCGUCGCCCUGCUCACGCUGGCUGUGAACCCCCUGACGGGCUUCCUCGGCGCCCUCAACAUCGUCCUCUACACCUGCUGCUACACGCCGCUCAAGAGGCUCAGCAUCACCAACACCUGGGUGGGGGCAGUGGUGGGCGCCAUACCCCCCAUCAUGGGCUGGACGGCCGCCGCCGGUUGUCUGGAGCCAGGUGCCUUGUUGCUGGGCGGCUUCCUGUACAGCUGGCAGUUCCCCCACUUCAACGCCCUCAGCUGGAACCUGCGGGAGGACUACUCGCGCGGCGGCUACCGCAUGAUGUCCGUCACCCACCCGGGCAUGUGCAGGCGCGUGGCCCUUCGCCACAGCCUGGCGCUGGGCGGCCUCGCCGCCCUGGCGCCGGCGCUGGGCGUCACCACCUGGACGUUCCCCGUCGUUUCCCUGCCCAUCAACCUGUACAUCAGCCUGCUGGCCUUCCGCUUCUACCGCCAGGGCGACCGCGGCAGCGCCCGCAAGCUGUUCUUCUGCAGCCUGUGGCACCUGCCCAUGCUGCUGCUGCUGGCGCUCACGUGCAAGAAGCCUCGCGCGGACCAGGCGGCGGACGCGGCUCCGCCCCCGGCGGCCGCGUCACCGCUCGCGCUGCAGAGCUAGCCCGUCCCCGUUAGAUGCUUUUUCAGACGUGCACUGAAGUCUGGACAUUUUCCUGGAAUUAUCCGGGGGGGGCUGCAUGCGAGAAUGCAAAUGUUGCUCUGGACGUUUUCCGUACCUUUUCUUGCCAGUUGCCGGGUACAAUUUCUGGAAAUUUGCAAGUGAGAAUACAGCAGGAAGAGAGCGAGUGGGCGUGUCGAUGACCGUAAACAAAAACACUUUUUCCCCGUUGUUGUGAACGUGUCUGAAUCUCCCGCUGCGUUCGUCACACGUGAACUCCAUAAAAAUGUCCGGACGCAAUUUCAUGUCUGAAAAGUGAAACGGCUGAUUUACAGAAAACACACGGAAUCUGUUUGUGAUCAAAUGAACGUGUGUGUGUACUGUAUAUAUAUUCUGUAUUUAUUGACGUACCACCACCUCUUGUGUGUUGUACAGUGUAAAAGAAAUCGCUCCUGUGGAUCCCACACUGUAGAAAUGCAAAUCAGGAGAAAAAUAUAAACUCAUCGCACCGGAUGUCUGUCGCCUGCCGCUCCACUUACACUUGGUCGUCACGACGACUCGUCGACCCCAACGGUUCAUUUCAACGCGGUUUGGCCGCGUCACCAAAUCAAAGAGGCGGACAGUUUGACCCCCUGCAGGAAACUCCAGGGUCGGAGGUCAGAAGACGCACAGCACCCCGUUCGGGCGGAGCCGCUGAUGCAAGGCUUCACACCAGCGCCAUCCUUUCCGAUAAUGCCACCUCCGCCACCUGUCAGUCAUCAUGUGCCCCCCCUUCCUUCCGCCCCUGUACCCCUC